rfam:TPA: Bos taurus chromosome 19, whole genome shotgun sequence.
UCCCUAAUGGUCCAGUGAUUAGGACUCUGCCCUUUCACUACAGAAGCAUGGGUUCAAUCCCUGGUUGGGGAA